rnacentral:lncRNA from 1 species
GGACGAACUUGGCGCCCCGGCCUUCGGGCCGUUAUUUUUGGGCGUGGCUUUGCCUGCGGCCUAUUUUUGGUACAAGGAGGCCCGUCGCAAAGUCUCGCGGCAUUCCGAGUCCGGCGGACGAAGUUGGCCAGCCCCACCACCCAAGGCUAUAGCCCACCCGUUUUUGAUGGCCUUUUUCCGCUGGACGAACUUGGCGCCCCGGCCUUCGGGCGGUUAUUUUUGGGCACGGCUUUGACCGCAGCCUAUUUUUGGCACACGGAGGCCCCUCGCAAAGUCUCGCGGCAUUCCGAGUCCGGCGGACGAAGUUGGCCAGCCCCACCCACCAAGGCUAUUGCCCACCCGUUUUUGUGGCCUUUUUCCUCUGGACGAACUUGGCGCCCCGGCCUUCGGGCGGUUAUUUUUGGUCGCGGCUUUGCCCGCGGCCUACUUUUGGCACCCGGAGGGGCCUUGUAAAGUCUCGCGGCAUUCCUAGUCCGGCGGACGAGGUUGGCCAGCCCCACCCCCCAAGGCUAUAGCCCACCCGUUUUUGUGGCCUUUUUCCGCUGGACGAACAUGGCGCCCCGGCCUUCGGGCGUUUAUUUUUGGGCGCGGCUUUGUCCGCGGCCUAUUUUUGUCACACGGAGGCCCCUCGCAAAGUCUCGUGGCAUUCCGAGUCCGGCGGCCGAAGUUGGCCGGCCCCACCCCCCAAGGCUAUAGCCCACCUUUUUUUGUGGCCUUUUUCCGCUGGACGAACUUGGCGCCCCGGCUUUCGGGCGGCUAUUUUUGGGUACGGCUUUGCCCGCGACCUACUUUUGGCACACGGAGGUGCCUUGCAACGUCUCGCGGCAUUCCGAGUCCGGCGGACGAGGUUGGCCAGCCCCACCCCCCAAGGCUAUACCCCACCCGUUUUUGUGGCCUUUUUCCGCUGGACGAACUUGGCGCCCCGGCCUUCGGGCGGUUAUUUUUG